UCUGUUAGAACUACGACCAAACAAUGCGCAGGCAAUCCACAGCAGCUGCCCUGCAAAUGUCAGCGCCAGCCCAGUCCAAAGAGCUUGAAACCUACCAAGCUAAAGGGCUAUGCUGUGCCUCUCUCGCGCACAUUUUCCCCAAGCACUCUCAGGAACCUGGCAACAGGUAACGUGGCAACCUUUGACUUAUAAAAGGGCAAGUGGCACAAUUUCAGGGAACAAAUGGACUUUUUUUUUAAAGCCAGCAUCUCCCCCACCACUCCCACACCCCACUCCCUCCCUCCCAACCAAAAGUGAGUAAAAAACAAAGCAUUGACGCGGGCAGUCCUACUCUCGAGUGUCCCCUUGUGGCCAAGCCUGGAACAUCACAUCCGUACUUUGCAAUCUGUGGAUCAGCUACGAGAUGGAUAUCUGAGAGCCAGGGAACUUUCUUUACCUCCUAGUAUCAUUUCAUGAGAAUUAGUAGCACCUGUACAAUGGAGCCUUGGAGACAGGAAUAAAAGGAAAAAUCUGGAAUGGAAUCACAUGACGCAACAGGCGAUGAAGACUCCCUGCCCCGCUCCUGUAUGUCUGGUAAACAGAAUAAAUAGCACUUGAGCAUCCCUGA